rnacentral:rRNA from 1 species
GACGAACGCUGGCGGCGUGCCUAAUACAUGCAAGUCGAGCGGACCUCUUCGGAGGUCAGCGGCGGACGGGUGAGUAACACGUGGGCAACCUGCCUGUAAGACUGGGAUAACACCGGGAAACCGGUGCUAAUACCGGAUAAUCCUUUUCCUCACAUGAGGGGAAGCUGAAAGACGGGUUCGGCUGUCACUUACAGAUGGGCCCGCGGCGCAUUAGCUAGUUGGUGGGGUAACGGCCCACCAAGGCGACGAUGCGUAGCCGACCUGAGAGGGUGAUCGGCCACACUGGGACUGAGACACGGCCCAGACUCCUACGGGAGGCAGCAGUAGGGAAUCUUCCGCAAUGGACGAAAGUCUGACGGAGCAACGCCGCGUGAGCGAAGAAGGCCUUCGGGUCGUAAAGCUCUGUUGUCAGGGAAGAACACGUACCGGAGUAACUGCCGGUACCUUGACGGUACCUGACCAGAAAGCCACGGCUAACUUCGUGCCAGCAGCCGCCGUAAUAC